rnacentral:rRNA from 1 species
AUGUCCUUUUUUGUUUCCACUCCUAUAGGAAGAGUUCUUAGCCGGGUCUCUUUGGAUUUGAACAUCAUUGACCCUGAUGUUCCAUUUGCCCUCAUGUUUACACUUGGUGCCAGCUUAAAUGCACUUAACAAUCUAGGGGUAUUGGCUGUAGUUUCAUGGGAAGUUCUGCUUGUAUCCAUGCCAAUGAUAGUUUUGGCAACUAGGUUGCAGAGGUACUAUCUAGCCUCAGCUAAGGAGUUGAUGCGGAUCAAUGGUACUACCAAGUCUGCCCUAGCAAAUCACUUAAGUGAAUCAAUUUCAGGGGCUAUAACAAUAAGGGCCUUUGAGCAAGAAGAUCGCUUCCUUGCUAAAUAUUUGGUCCUUGUUGACAAGAAUGCUGGUCCAUAUUUCUACAAUGUUGCUGCAACUGAAUGGUUGAUUCAACGCCUGGAAAUAAUGAGCGCUACAGUUCUUUCUUUUACUACCUUUGUCAUGGCUCUUCUUCCGCAAGGAACUUUUAGCCCUGGUUUUGUGGGAAUGGCAUUGUCCUAUGGUCUUUCCCUAAAUGUGUCAUUUGUUUUCUCUAUUCAAAACCAAUGCAACCUUGCAAAUCAAAUAAUCUCGGUGGAACGAGCGAACCAGUACAUGGAGAUACAAAGUGAAGCAGCAGAAGUUCUUGAAGAAAAACGACCCGCACCAUAUUGGCCCAAAGAUGGCAAUGUGGAGCUUAGGAAUUCGAAGAUUAGGUAUAGGAAAGAUGCUCCCCUUGUACUACAUGGAAUCAUUUGCAAGUUUAAACGUGGAGAUAAAAUUGGAAUAGUUGGUCGAACCGGAAGUGGCAAGACAACGUUAAUUGGUGCACUGUUUUGA